GCUGGAGUUUGCAAAUCGGUCUCGAAAACCGGUGGACGUUAAUAGCGUCUCCAGGGUUCGAAUCCAUGGGUUCCCGCCA
rnacentral:tRNA from 1 species